AGAGUUUGAUCAUGGCUCAGAACGAACGCUGGCGGCGUGGAUUAGGCAUGCAAGUCGCACGUGAAAAGGGGGCUUGCUCCCUUAGUAAAGUGGCGAACGGGUGAGUAACGCGUGAGAAACCUGCCUUGUAGAGGGGAAUAACAGUCCCAACGGAUUGCUAAUACCGCAUGAGCUCGAUGGAUCGCAUGGUUCGUCGAGGAAAGGUGGCCUCUGCUCGCAAGCUAUCGCUACAAGAGGGUCUCGCGUCCGAUUAGCUAGUUGGCGGUGUAAAAGACCACCAAGGCGACGAUCGGUAGCUGGUCUGAGAGGAUGGUCAGCCACACUGGGACUGAGAUACGGCCCAGACUCCUACGGGAGGCAGCAGUCGAGAGGCUUCGGCAAUGGGGGAAACCCUGACCGAGCGACGCCGCGUGGAGGAUGAAGGCCCUUGGGUUGUAAACUCCUUUCGUGGGGGAAGAAUGUAUUCGGGGUAAAUAAUCCCGAGUAUUGACGGUACCCCAAGAAGAAGCUCCGGCUAACUCCGUGCCAGCAGCCGCGGUAAUACGGGGGGAGCAAGCGUUGUUCGGAAUCACUGGGCGUAAAGGGAGUCUAGGCGGUUUGGUAAGUGGGAUGUGAAAUGCCCGGGCUCACCCCGGGACCUGCAUCCCAAACUGCUGAGCUUGAGUACAGGAGAGGGUGGGGGAAUUCCAGGUGUAGCGGUGAAAUGCGUAGAUAUCUGGAGGAACACCGGUGGCGAAGGCGCCCACCUGGCCUGCUACUGACGCUGAAGCUCGAAAGCUAGGGGAGCAAACGGGAUUAGAUACCCCGGUAGUCCUAGCCGUAAACGGUGAUCACUAGGUGUUGGGAGCAUCGACCCUUCCAGUGCCGCAGCUAACGCAUUAAGUGAUCCGCCUGGGGAGUACGGCCGCAAGGUUGAAACUCAAAGGAAUUGACGG
rnacentral:rRNA from 1 species